rnacentral:rRNA from 1 species
UACAGAGGUCUCGAGCGUUGUUCGGAUUUAUUGGGAGUAAAGGGUGCGUAGGCGGUGUGGCAAGUCAAGUGUGAAAUCUCGGAGCUCAACUUCGAAACUGCACUUGAUACUACUAUGCUAGAGGGUUGUAGAGGAGACCGGAAUUCACGGUGUAGCAGUGAAAUGCGUAGAUAUCGUGAGGAAGACCAGUUGCGAAAGCGGGUCUCUGGGCAAUUCCUGACGCUGAGGCACGAAGGCUAGGGGAGCAAACGGG